rnacentral:rRNA from 1 species
UACGUAGGGGGGCUAGCGUUGUCCGGAAUCAUUGGGCGUAAAGAGCGUGUAGGCGGCCCGGUAAGUCCGCUGUGAAAGUCGGGGGGCUCAACCCUCGAAUGCCGGUGGAUACUGUCGGGCUCGAGUCCGGAAGAGGCGGAGUGGAAUUCCUGGUGUAGCGGUGAAAUGCGCAGAUAAUCAGGAGGAACACCGAUGGCGAAGGCAGCUCGCUGGGACGGUACUGACGCUGAGACGCGAAAGCGUGGGGAGCAAACAGG